rnacentral:rRNA from 1 species
UAGGGAAUCUUCGGCAAUGGACGAAGGUCUGACCGAGCAACGCCGCGUGAGUGAAGAAGGUUUUCGGAUCGUAAAACUCUGUUGUUAGAGAAGAACGUUGUGUAGAGUGGAAAAUUACACAAGUGACGGUAUCUAACCAGAAAGGGACGGCUAACUACGUGCCAGCAGCCGCGGUAAUACGUAGGUCCCGAGCGUUGUCCGGAUUUAUUGGGCGUAAAGCGAGCGCAAGUGGUUUAAUAAGUCUGAUGUAAAAGGCAGUGGCUCAACCAUUGUGGGCAUUGGAAACUGUUAGACUUGAGUGCAGUAGAGGAGAGUGGAAUUCCAUGUGUAGCGGUGAAAUGCGUAGAUAUAUGGAGGAACACCGGUGGCGAAAGCGGCUCUCUGGACUGUAACUGACACUGAGGCUCGAAAGCGUGGGUAGCAAACA